rnacentral:rRNA from 1 species
UACGGGGGGGGCAAGCGUUGUUCGGAAUUACUGGGCGUAAAGGGCUCGUAGGCGGCCAACUAAGUCAGACGUGAAAUCCCUCGGCUUAACCGGGGAACUGCGUCUGAUACUGGAUGGCUUGAGUUUGGGAGAGGGAUGCGGAAUUCCAGGUGUAGCGGUGAAAUGCGUAGAUAUCUGGAGGAACACCGGUGGCGAAGGCGGCGAUCUGGACAGAUAUUGACGCUGAGGUGCGAAAGCGUGGGGAGCAAACAGG